rnacentral:lncRNA from 1 species
CUUUCUAUGUGUGUUAUCGGAGGAAUUUGAAUUCAACUAAUACCCAGCCCGAUUGAGAUCUCAACCUCUCACCUGAAUGCCUAUCCCAUCAAAGUGCUAGGGCCAACAAUGCGGCAGAUUAAAAAAAAAAAAAAAGCCAACCUCUUCUAUUUUACCUACUGUCAUCUCACAUCCCAAAUCUGAAACAUAACACGACCAUAUUAUUGGAGGAUGAAGCCCACGAUAAUAC